AUAUGCGGUGUUUAGCUAAAGAGUUGUUUUGGCGACACAAACAGUUCGUUCUGAUCGAUGUCCUUUUGACUGCAGGAACUGGCACUCAAUUCCAGCAGUCAAAAGACAGAUGAGAUCCAGUCUAACGUCUAUAGGAAGCCUUUCAUUUCUAUCUUCUGGUCCGCCCAACUUCGGAAAUUCCAGAUGUAUAUAUAUUUUUAAAAGUAUCCUCCAUGGAAUCUCAAUCAAAGCUCGAAGCAUUAGCCCGUUCUUUAUUGCCACGCUUUAAACGCAUCAAGAUACUUUGUUCUGUAUAAAUCCUAGAUAUUUUCAGUAAAUAGGUUAGACUCUGGACUAUGUUUAACAAAGGAUACAAAAUAGUUUCCUACGCAUCCUUACCCACACCAGCACGAAAAUCGUGAGAAAGCAUAUUAGAAUUUCUAGUCUUUUUUUUAUUUCUCCAGCUUUUCAGGUCACACCUCUUCAAUGGUGUAUUAGCGGACACUGAUUUUGUGAGGACAGUGGUCACUUUAAGAGGUCGUUAAUUGGCCGUUAAUGGCGUGUAAUCGAGUGUUGAUUCGAGAGUGAAAAAGGACUAUUACGAGGCGUCAUAGCGGCAAACAGGAUAGACAGGAUAGAUGUCAAGCAUUUCUCGGAAUCCCUUCGCUGAAUCUCAAUAGGAUCGUAGUUAACAAUUAACUGGGUAGCAAUAACUUCUCUAACUCUUUGAGUUGAUCUGAACUUCCGACUGUUACCUGUACUUUCUCUAUUCGCGGGAAAGUGACGUAACCAUGGGACCAGGUUACUGCUAUUUACCAAAAAGGGUACGCGAUGCAAAGCCAUUUCCUGUCUCAUUGGUAGCGGUAAUCCCAGAGAAACGAGGGAUAUCAGACAGGCAAAUAAGGACUGACCACUGAUGGGCGUCGAUAAGUGUAUUUCAUGGCAGUCUCACCUCGUCACGGGGUGGUGCAAGUCGAGGAAGGCGUGGCACAGGCGUGCUAUGAGCUGUGAGGAACAUGGUUCAUAUGACCGACGAUCCAGGAAAGGGACGUCUGCCUAGUGGAACCUCUGCAAUCGGUUGAAGAGUGACAUAAAUGCGUUCUACCAUAUAUGACAGCAUCUAAUUUAGCCUUCAAGAUAAAGCCUGGAGGGACAAGGAGAGAAAGUGCUUACAGUGAAAGACUCAUAACUGGGACGUUGGCAUGACUGCCGGUAAGGUUUGAUCGCAGAUAACACUGCAAGACCUUGUCUACAUUGAUUCACCUAACAAGAAACGUACGUCAUGAGCUAAUCUUCGUAAUUGUUUUACUCGCCGAAUCAUCUUGAUAGCUAAAAUUAAUGUAUGUUUAACUGCAUGUGGGCUGUUGUAUGACGCUUUUUAUAAAUAAUAAUAUGUCUUGAGCUGGAGUGUGACUCGGGAAGCAGUUUCUAUCUUUCGUGAUAAUUGCACAUAAAUCAGCGAUCUAACUGUUUCACUACAGACUGGCAUCAAGGGCGCAGGCAUCCAGCUAGAUAGAACGCACCAAUUGGUUAUAAUUAUACUAGAAUAGUAAGACAUGGAGUACGUAAUGGUUUUGAAGCAGUUUUACAUGCUAAUUCUAUUGGUCCUUAGGACAGUUCGAAUGAAUGAACGCUAGAUGCUGUACGUCCAUACGAUCAUGAACACCUUUUACGGUAUCGCUUCCAUACGAGAGCUUCGCAAUUUUUGACAAUAUUUUUUUUUUUUUUUUAAAUAAUAUUCAUGCUUACAUUUCUCAGUGAUCUCGAUUCUACGAUGUAACUGCGUGAUUAGAUUAGAAUUGUUAUUAUAUUAUGAUAGUUCAUCGUAGUGAACGGCUAAAGUGAACCGUUUUCCAAACGGCAUUACGAGCACUGACGAGCACAGAAAUGGUUUAUUACGAAAAAAAAAAACAAAAAACACAUAGUACUUUAUUUAUUUAGGCAUUUAGAAUCAUAUUAUCGAUCAGAUAAACUCCACGUAGAGCCAAUAAACACUUUCAACGACCACGAAGCUUUACCUGCAGAAUAUCCAUAUCUGGCUUCAUAACACUGGUUCAGUUAAGUCCAUCGGUAGCUCAACCAGGUACAAGCUGACAGGUGAAUCGCUACCUUCGCAGCUGCCUAUAAUAAAACGUGCAUGUUUCCUUGCAAUGAAACGGAAGCAACCAGCUGAAUUCGGACCGUAGACGGGCUUUGAAAAGCCGCGCCCGAUGCACAGUUCUCGCGCGUCAAACAGUCGAAGGAGCGCAAAUUGUCCUUUUUUACGACAGUGACUAUCUAAGCCAUGACAGUGGUAAUAACGAUGGCCGUAACGGCGUCAAACUUUUAGGACGACGCUAAAGCUUCAAAGAUUUUUU